GACGAACGCUGGCGGCGUGCUUAACACAUGCAAGUCGAACGGAAAGGCCCUGCUUUUGUGGGGUGCUCGAGUGGCGAACGGGUGAGUAACACGUGAGUAACCUGCCCUUGACUUUGGGAUAACUUCAGGAAACUGGGGCUAAUACCGGAUAGGAGCUCCUGCUGCAUGGUGGGGGUUGGAAAGUUUCGGCGGUUGGGGAUGGACUCGCGGCUUAUCAGCUUGUUGGUGGGGUAGUGGCUUACCAAGGCUUUGACGGGUAGCCGGCCUGGGAGGGUGACCGGCCACCUUGGGACUGAGAUACGGCCCAGAAUCCUACGGGAGGCAGCAGUGGGGAAUAUUGCACAAUGGGCGGAAGCCUGAUGCAGCAACGCCGCGUGCGGGAUGACGGCCUUCGGGGUGUAAACCGCUUUCGCCUGUGACGAAGCGUGAGUGACGGUAAUGGGUAAAGAAGCACCGGCUAACUACGUG
rnacentral:rRNA from 1 species